ACAGAGGGUGCAAACGUUGCUCGGAAUCACUGGGCGUAAAGGGCGUGUAGGCGGACUUGUAAGUCGGGCGUGAAAUCCCUGGGCUCAACCCAGGAACUGCGCUCGAAACUGCGAGUCUUGAGUACCGGAGAGGAAGGUGGAAUUCCUGGUGUAGAGGUGAAAUUCGUAGAUAUCAGGAGGAACACCAGUGGCGAAGGCGGCCUUCUGGACGGUAACUGACGCUGAGACGCGAAAGCGUGGGGAGCAAACAGGA
rnacentral:rRNA from 1 species